rnacentral:rRNA from 1 species
AUACAGAGGGUGCAAGCGUUGCUCGGAUUUACUGGGCGUAAAGCGUACGCAGACGGCCACGCAGGUCGGGUGUGAAAGCCCCGGGCUCAACCCGGGAAUUGCAUUCGAAACCAUGUGGCUCGAGUGUGGGAGAGGAAAGUGGAAUUCCUGGUGUAGAGGUGAAAUUCGUAGAUAUCAGGAGGAACACCGGCGGCGAAGGCGGCUUUCUGGUCCACAACUGACGUUCAGGUACGAAAGCGUGGGGAGCAAACAGGAUUAGAUACCCUGGUAGUCCACGCUGUAAACGAUGAGUGCUGGAUGUCGGGGGUAUUCACCCCCUCGGUAUCGAAGCUAACGCGUUAAGCACUCCGCCUGGGGAGUACGGCCGCAAGGUUGAA